CCUACGGGUGGCUGCAGUGGGGAAUCUUGCGCAAUGGGCGAAAGCCUGACGCAGCCAUGCCGCGUGAAUGAUGAAGGUCUUAGGAUUGUAAAAUUCUUUCACCGGGGACGAUAAUGACGGUACCCGGAGAAGAAGCCCCGGCUAACUUCGUGCCAGCAGCCGCGGUAAUACGAAGGGGGCUAGCGUUGCUCGGAAUUACUGGGCGUAAAGGGAGCGUAGGCGGACUGUUAAGUUAGAGGUGAAAGCCCAGGGCUCAACCUUGGAAUUGCCUUUGAUACUGGCAGUCUUGAGUACGGAAGAGGUAUGUGGAACUCCGAGUGUAGAGGUGAAAUUCGUAGAUAUUCGGAAGAACACCAGUGGCGAAGGCGACAUACUGGUCCGUUACUGACGCUGAGGCUCGAAAGCGUGGGGAGCAAACAGGAUUAGAUACCCCAGUAGUC
rnacentral:rRNA from 2 species